CUAAUGAGUAACGAGCGACUGUCUUCGGACAGAAGCUCUACCAAAGACGCCAAUUGCGCGGUGCAGAAGGCGCCAGAAAAGCAGGGUAAUUUCCUAUCACUCCUCAGCGGUUAAGGUUCUUCUGGGCCUUUAGCUCAGUUGGUUAGAGCGUUCCUCUGAUAAGGGAAAGGUCUCAGGUUCGAGUCCUGAAAGGCCCACUUCCCUAAAAUGGGGAUGUAGCUUAGCUGGGAGAGCGCCGCCUUUGCAAGGCGGAGGCCAGGGGUUCGAAUCCCCUCAUCUCCACAGAGCAGCAGUAUACUGGAGAAAAGUGUGGUAGAAUUGCUCGCUGCAAGAUAAAGUUUCUAAAAGGCAGAACCGCAAUGGGAAGUUUACGACCCGGCGGCAAGCCGGGUCGAAUUGUCUGAAAAAUAAAAUAGCAGGUUGACCGGGGAUGUAUGUCCCUGAACACCAGAGACAUACAUCGCCGAUCAAGCGAAAACUUGAAAAAGCGAACAGAACCUUAAAAACUGAAUAGCUAGAUUAAUGUAGGCCAAUAAAUAAACAAGUCAAGUCAUUAUUACGUGUAAAAAGAGUAUCAAUUUCUCUGCAUCACGU
rnacentral:tRNA from 1 species